UACGAAGGGAGCUAGCGUUGUUCGGAAUCACUGGGCGUAAAGCGCACGUAGGCGGACUUGUCAGUCAGGGGUGAAAUCCCGGGGCUCAACCCAGGAAGUGCACUCGAAACUGCGUAGCUGGAGUCUCGGAGAGGGAGGCGGAAUUCUGGGUGUAGAGGUGAAAUUCGUAGAUAUCCAGAGGAACACCGGUGGCGAAGGCGGCCUCCUGGACGAGAACUGACGCUGAGACGCGAAAGCGUGGGGAGCAAACAGG
rnacentral:rRNA from 1 species